GUGAAGACCAAGACAAACAGUAGAUUAACAGUGGUACCUUUUAUAAAGCUGAUUAGUUCCUAAAAUAUGCUGAAAGGAAACAAAACCAAAAAGGAAAAAAAAGAGAGUGGAAUAGGGGCCGAGACAGAAGCCUUUGUCGGUGAGUUUGAAGCAGCUCCGUUCCUUUCAGUCAUUGCAGAUAUUGACCUUCCAGUGAAAUAUUUCCUUUGUGAGCAAAGGCUUUGCCGGGAUAGCGUUUAUGGUAUUAAGCAGGUGCCUGGUGAGAACAACAGCAUGACUGGAAUGGCGAUAGCCACUUCUAAAAUGUCCAUUUAUUCAUAGCUCAUCUACUUCUCAAAAAGAAAUUGUGGUAAGUUACACCAGAAAUGGAGUUCCAAUAAAACAGAGACUCAUCAACAGAAGCUAAAAGACAACAGACAAACAUGAAGUAAUAGUAGUAGAAAAAUUUAUAUCAAUAAACCCUCGCAAAAAGAAUGCAAUUUCCAGCUCUGAGUUUUCCAGCAGCCAGGCAAAGAGAGAAAGCCCAUGAACUACAGAGACCUCCUCAGCUCGUCAUGAAAACCACGUGGGUUCUUUAAGGGAAACGACAUUUUUCUGUCCCUGAGCUCCUCCAGGUGGCGUUUGUCUGGGGCAGGGCGUGUGGGAGGCAGCCAAUGAAUUGCCGGAGAAGUUGGCUUUCGGUAGAGCUGGGGACAGCUCCCCUGGAGGGGGACUGUCUUUCUGACUUUGGCUGAUGUGCAUUCUGAGCCAGGAGCAAAGGAGAGUCAUUCUUUUCCUCUCUGAGCUCGGGGAGGGAUAAGCAAGGACAGAAAGGAAAGAACAAACUCUUUGGGUCAUGAAGAAGAGUUUCCUAUGCCCUGAAAGCAAGUUACAGCAGCUGACUUGAAACCACCACAUAGAGGAGCACUAGAAUUUGGCCAAAGGAGUUGUUUUCACCAAAGACCUUCUUGCUCUAAAGGUCAAGGAGCCCAGGACUCCAUACUUGGGAGGGCCCAUCUGCUGAGUGGGCCCCCUCCCUGGAGAAGGCCAGUUGAGCUGCUGCCAGACUCCAUGCCAAAUUCAAAUGAAAAAUGAGGGUUUUCUAGGAGAUUAUUGUGAAAAGGUGAGAAAAAAACUAAACCAGCUUUGCAGGAGCUAAACAGUGAUAUUUCGAGUCAACCACACUUUACAAAGCCGGAUGUUAUUUUAGACAACAUAAGUGUAAUCACUCUUUCUAUCCAGUCUCUGAUAUUAUACUGUACUGCAGAGAAAAUCUGCUGAUCAGUUUUAACGCCCUUCUCUGAGUUGUCAGAUAAAAGGCCACAGCAAUCGGAAGAAAUUUAUCUUUAAAAUGUUUCUAUUAUGCUUGGUGACAAUGCCGUUUCCACUGAGGACUUCUCUAGUAUGUAUUUUUUUUCCUAUGGAUGAAGCAGGAAUCAAAAAGGACUUUCGCUGGGCCUCGGGAGAGCAAAACGGGCAUGCAAACACUGAGCCUGGCGGGGCGUUAAGCUCUGAAAUGCUUCAGGGAGCCGCUGGCGCCGUGCACGUGCAUCAAGGCAGGGAUCUUUAUAGUCUAGGAAAUUCAUCACAGCGUGACAAUUUGUGCCCGGCUCCCAAACGGAGCUCGUCUAGUUCUCGCUCUUGUUUCCCCUCAGUGGCCUCACACAUUCUGGAAUGUGUCUUAAGGGGAGGAAUUCACAGAGGUUUCAGACUAAAGGAAAAAGCAGCCCGCUGAUUCAGUUCGCCUUGCCCCACACUGCGCCUUCAUUGUAGGAUAAUGAGGCCGACGCUCAUGCGGCGUCUACACUGUGCAGGCACCAGGUGAGUCACGUCACUCACAUCACUGCCAACCCUCACUGCAGCCCUCUAAAAAUAAAAUAAGUUUUCUUGUCCUGCCUCAAUUCAUGCAUUAAGCUGGCACUCAUUCAACACAGUUUUGGAGGACCUAUAGUGCAGGAUGGCAGACAAAGUUGCAGAUGUUGAGGACCCAGUGAUAAAGAAGAUAUGGCUCCCUGCACAGAAAUCGGAAAACCAACCAGCAAAAAAGUUAAAGGAUCUUGCCAAGGAGGGAGUAGAACCAGAGGGUGAUGCCGUUUGUAUACUUCUAAAGCUUGCACCGCUUCCUACGCACCACGCUGCUUCCCUUGACUCGCUCCGUCUUCUGAGCUGAAGAUUGACCCUGAGCUAACAUCUUUGCCCAUCUGCCUCUAUUUUAUGUGGGAUGCCUACCACAGCAUGGUGUGCCAAGCAGUGUCACGCCCACACUCAGUAUCCGAACCCCCAGUCCCGGGGCCACUGAAGUGGAACAUUCGCACUUAACCGCUGCAGCAGUGGGCCGGCCCCGUCAAGCACUGUAAUUCUAUAACUCAUUUUAUUUUCAUGACAAACGCAUGAAGAGGAGGAAAUUGAGGUCGAGAGAGGUUAUUUUGCUCAAGUCUAUAGCUAAUUUAUAGGGUUUAGGCCUGUCUAAAUACAGAACCUCUGCUCAUAAGUAUUUUUGGAGUUCAAAACUCUAAAACAUUUGAAGUGCUGUGGACAAACUAGGAAAAGAGUUUCAACAAAUAUGACAAAAUUUAUAGAAUUGAAUUUUUUGAGAAUAUUAAAUGAUUACAUUUUCAACUCCAUUAAGAACACAAAGCUACAGACCAGUAGAAAAUAUUCACAAAACACUAUGUCUGACAAAGCAUACCCAGGAUAUACAAAGAACUCUUAAAUUCAACAAUAAAAAGACAAACAACCCAAUUAAAAAGGGCAAAAGAUUUUAGAUGACUCUUCACAAAAAGAAAUAUAUGAACAGCCAAUAAGCAUACGAAAAAAUGCUCGUCAUCAUUAGUGAUCAGAGCAAUGAAAAUCACAAGGAAAUACCGUUAUAUACUCACUGGUAUGUCUAUAAUUAAAAAGACAAACAUUAAGUGUUAACAAGGAUGUAGAACAAUUGGAACUCUCAUACAUGGUUCAACCAGUUUGGACAAAGUUUUACAGUUUCUUAAAGACUAAAUACAUA
rnacentral:lncRNA from 1 species